UGGGUGGACCAGGUAGCGGCAACAGGGGUAGUGCUUCACGAGGUGGAUCACGAGGUGGAUCACGAGGUGGAUCACGAGGUGGAUCACGAAGUGGGUCAAGAGGUGGAUCGCAAGUAAGAGGACGUGGUCGUGCAACUGCUCCAACCAUUCAAGAACAAUUAUUGUACGAAGAGGAGAAAGAAGACCGUUUAAGGGAAUCACAUCAACAAGAGCGAGCAAACGAUCCUGAUGAAAAAGAAAUUUCCUCUGAGGAAGAAGAUGCUGUCCCUAAUGAGCAAGUGAGAUCCAUGGUAGUAGAGCUAACCAAAGACGCUGUUAAAACACCAGCCUUUGAGAAAACAAAAUGGCCUUGAUGGAGAAGUCAUUGUUGGGAUAACUGGCAUAUGAUGUAUACUCAAACGGAAAGGAAUUUGUGCAAUGUAAACAUUGCAAAGAUGGAAAAUAUCAUCACGGCCAUUCAGAUUCUUUUUCCAAUUUCUUGCGGCAUUUAAGAAGAUGCCACGAGGAAGAGUACAACAAAGUAAAAACAGGAGGAAAACAAAUUUUAUCCAAUCAAUAUUGUAUGAAGAAUUUCCUUGCAACAAAAGUGCCAUAAGAUACUCAAAAGAAAAUUGACAUUCUUUUAGCCGAAAUGAUUGUUAUGGACAAUUUGCCUUCAACAGUUUUACAGCGAGAUGGAUUUCGGAGGUUGAUCUCAUUUAUCGCACCAACAUACAACAUUCCGAGUUACGAAAAGAUGAGAGAUACCAUCAUACCUUCAAUCUACGCAAGAACUGCUGAAGUAGUGAAAACUGUACUCAAAUCUUGUGAGAUUGUGACCAUUAUGCUGGACCUCUGGUCAUCUAACAGCAUGGUUGGGUUAUGGGGGUCUCAUGCUCGUCUGUUACUGCUGACUACGUCCCGUUUACAUGUUUUUUUAACAUGAAGGAUAUGCCCUCAAAUCACACAGCCGAAGCGAUUCUAUCAGAGUCAGAAUGCGUCGUUUCCGACUGGGAACUCAAUGGAAAGGUUGUUGUCUUUAUAAAGUGGUCAUUGAAUCUGUCUAAUAAUUAUUUAAUUUUUCCGGGUUGUUCGCACUGUAACGUAUAAUGCGUCAAAUAUGACUAAAGCGUUCCGACUUCAGCUCUCAAACUUUUUUUUCGAAGAGAAAGAAGACGAGUUCAUCGAAAUGGAACUUGAAGCUGGGUUGGAAGUCCCGAACUACGUUUUGAUUCCAGAAUACCUAGAAUGCACGUCUUCUGCUGGCGGUUCUCAGAACGAUGAAUUAGAAAUUGAAAAUCUAAUGUCAACAUUAGAAAUUGACCUCGCAGGACUAAUUCAAGAAAAUUGCUGGAAAAUCAACGAAAUGGUUCCGUCAGCGCAACUUCGUCACACGCAGGAUGUUUACCUCAUCAAACACAGCUAGUUAUUAAAGAUGGACUUAAGGCUCUCGAGAAAUUUGUUUCCGAGUCACAGGAUUUGUUGUGCAAGAUAGUAGGUGGGGUUCGAAGGAGCGUCGUCGAUACAAAAGUUCUGCUAGAUUCCGUUGGAUUCAAAAUACCAAUGAUGAAUCUCACUAGAUGGAAUUCGCAGUUUUCAAUGAUGAAACACUUCCUUAACGGCAUUGAUAUUGACACGGCACUUCAAUAGAAAUUAAAUGCAUGCAAAGCGCAUGGGUCCCUUUCAUCCUUACAACUGAAGUGUUUAAAGGAAUUUGUUAACCUACUAAAAACCUUUCAAAAUUGCGACUGACGUUUUCCAGAAGGAUACGGAAACAAUACGGCUGGUUAUUCCAUUUUACCUGAAUUUGGCUAACCAAUGUUCAUUUGAUCCAAGAGUCAAUCAAAAAGCAAAAUUCUUACUUCGUGCAAAUGCAUAGCGGAAUAAUAAAGCAGGUCCCUCUCUAAAAGAAUGAGUUGGAUUUUAAAGGACACUUUUUUUGUAUUGGGAUCCGUGCUGGACCCAAGAAUUAAAGGACCACCCUAGUAUACGUUUUCCGUUUGAACAUAGUAGGCGCAUGGCUUACGCUUUCUAUAUGCCUGGUUCUGGUAUAGUAUGAUGCACAAAAAG
rnacentral:lncRNA from 1 species